GAUGAAAUUACUGUUUUAUAUAGUUUUGUCAAUAAUUAAACCUUAAAGUAAACAAUAAGAAAUAAGCCAAUUUUAUGUGCAAGGAUUAUACAUGGAUGAGAACAUUUCAUCGUGAUGUAUGUAAUGUGCUAAUCCGAGUACAUAUUUCCCGCCAUAUUCUUCGCCAGCAAUGAACAGAGGUGCUUCUGUUAACUCUGGAAAUACUUGGAUGAACUGCUUCAUGAAUUUGAAAGGAAUUUAAAGAAUAAAGCCCGUAUGAUAUAUUAAUGUAGGUAAAAGUUAUGGGCAGUGAAAUUCUACGGUAAGUGCCACAACAUCAAGAGAAUACGAUCUCCACCGUUAUCAUUAUUGAACUUGGUUGCAAUUUGAACGUAUCAAUAUCAAUUAAUUUUAAAUUUCAAAUCAUUGUUAAUGACUAUAUAGUUUUUAAAGCCUAUCCAAGAAUUUAAGAUUCCUGACAAGAGAGCGAUUCAAGUGGC